rnacentral:rRNA from 1 species
GAUGAACGCUGGCGGCGUGCCUAAUACAUGCAAGUCGAGCGAACGGUCGAGCCUCUUGCUUUUCUGAUUUUAUCAGCGGACGGGAUAUUAACACUUGGUUAACCUACCUAUUAGACUGGGCUAACUUCGGGAAACCGUAGCUAAUACCGGAUAAUUUUUUGAACCGCAUUGUUCAAACGUUAAAGACGGUCUUGCUGUCACUUAUAGCUUGCUCCGCCCUGCAUUAACUAGUUGGUAAGGUAACGGCUUACCAAGGCAACGAUGCAUACCCGACCUGAGCGGGUGAUCGGACAGACGGGAAGUGAGAAACGGUCGAGACACCGACGGGAGGAAGCAGUAGGGAAUCUUCCGCAAGGGGCGAAAGCCUGACGGAGCAAAGCGGCGGGAAGGAUGAAGGUCUACGGAUCGUAAAACUAUGUUAGUAGGGAAGAACAAAUGUGUAAGUAACUGUGAACAUCAUGACGGUACCGAAACAGAAAGCCACGGCUAACUACGUG